rnacentral:rRNA from 1 species
GACGAACGCUGGCGGCGUGCUUAACACAUGCAAGUCGAACGGAAAGGCCCUGCUUUUGUGGGGUGCUCGAUUGGCGAACGGGUGAGUAACACGUGAGUAACCUGCCCCUGUCUUUGUGAUAACUUCAGGAAACUGGGGCUAAUAUCGGAUAGGAUCUCCUGCUCCGUGGGGGGGGUUGGAAAGUUUCGGCGUUUGUGGAUGGACUCGCGGCUUAUCAGCUUGUUUGUGUGGUAGUGGCUUACGAAGGCUUUGACGGGUAGCCGGCCUGAGAGGGUGACCGGGGACCAUGGGACUAAGGGAGGGAGCAGAAUCCAAUGGGAGGCAGUAGUGGAGAAUAUUGCAGAACGGGGCGAAGUGUGAUGCAGAGGUGCCGCGUGCGGGAUGCUGGGUUUCGGGUUGUAAACAGCUUUCGACUUUGACGAAGCGUGAGUGACGGUAAUGGGUCAAGAAGCAACGGCUAACUACGUG